UCCAGAAAUCCAGACAUCUUGCCGGAGGGUCGUCUGCUAUAAAAUGUUAGACCAAUCACACAGAAAAUGUCAACCACCUCUGUGACAGACAGUUCGGAGCCUGGAUGAAACCGUUUCUGCCUUCCGAGAAGCCGUUAGAGACGUUCCAGAUGAAGAUCUUGCAAACAGUGUGCAGACGGAAACUAUCAACACUUCGGCCAUCGAUCCAGCACUCCCCACAUCUCUGUACCCCGGGUGCCUGUGUCGACCGGCGGAGGGAGGAGCCCAGUGACUGUGGGGGGACCUGCGGGGAGCCGCUAUGAGAAGUGCUUCGUCUCCAGAUGCCAGAAAUGCUGGAUGUUAGGAACAACAAACAGACCCCUGGAGAGGAAGAAUGUCCUGUUGCAGCUGCACGCACGUGUACCCGUGUUCACUGCAUUUAUGGGCGAGAGUUCACAGCCAAAAUGUCAACACUAAUAAAACAACUGUUGAUAAAACAGAGAAUAAAAAUAAAGAGUGAUUGAUGAGCGAGACCUCGAGCUGCAGCCACCAGCUUCCUCCCGUCAUCCUCAGUUUUCUCACGCGGACCGGAGGAGCCUGGGAGGUCAAGUCCUGAACUCGUCUCCUAGUCCACAAGUUACAUAGCAUUCCUUACAAACUUUGCCACAGAGGUUGUCUGGAGAACAAAUGUUUCUUGAGCAAAAAAAAAAAACAAAAACAAAAAAAAAAACAACAACAACUUCAUUCUAAAAAAUCGUGACUUAGUCAGAUUUUAAAAUGUUUAUGGUUACAUUAUCAUGCUGACGCAUUUGUUGUUGCUGUUAUUAUUAGCAACGGCUUAGUGUACUGUGUUAAGUGAUGGAGACCAUGCGCGUGCUGAGAGUUCGUGAAUGCACUGACAGAUGGGCGAGGGCCUCACAAAAACAACAACGAGACAAAGUCAGAAUAACAUCUGGUUUCGAGAGCAUUGAAGUCACUGACACCUCACUCUACACCGGGUUGGGGACCUACAUUCACACACACACCACACACACCACACACACACACACACACACACACAC